CUUCUGUCCUGCUGGAGCUCUCUUUUUCUCUCGGGCUCUCUCACUUGCCUGCUCUAAUAAAACCAGCUGCCAUGUUGUGAGCUGCCUUAUGGGAAGCCCUUGCAACAAGGAACUGAGGCCCUCAGCCCAACAGCCAUGAAACACACUGCUUACCAUGAACCAUGACUCCAGAAGGCUGUUGAUAUCGCAGCUGUAUUACCUACACCCUCACCCGAACGCCCCAUCGGACUUGAUCCUGACUUCGCGGCUGAAGCACCACCUCAUUCUGUCUGUUGAGGGCGUCGAUCCCUUCAGGCUAGCGUGGACAUGUUCUCAUUGCUGACGGCAGAGCAUGAGAAGGCAGGUUCUGAUGUGAAAGCCCACUUCAAGCCUGCUGGCAUCCCAUUGGCCAAGGCAGGAGCUGGGUUUUGGAACAAGCCCUGGCUUGCAGAAUCAGGAGACCUGGGUUGCUAUCAUUUGAUUUUGGGAAACCUCUUUGGGCUUCAGUUCCUUCAGCUCUAGAAUGGGGCUAAUAAGCUUCAGAGCCUGGUCUGUGA